UACAGAGGGUGCGAGCGUUAAUCGGAAUUACUGGGCGUAAAGCGCACGUAGGCGGACCAUCAAGUCGGAUGUGAAAUCCCUCGGCUUAACCGAGGACGUGCAUUCGAUACUGAUGGCCUUGAGUACGGAAAGAGGAUCGCGGAAUUCCCGGUGUAGAGGUGAAAUUCGUAGAUAUCGGGAGGAACACCAGUGGCGAAGGCGGCGAUCUGGGUCGAUACUGACGCUGAGGUGGCGAAAAGCGUGGGGAGCAA
rnacentral:rRNA from 1 species